rnacentral:rRNA from 1 species
GUGUCAGCCGCCGCGGUAAUACGUAGGUGGCGAGCGUUGUCCGGAAUUACUGGGUGUAAAGGGCGUGUAGGCGGGAAUGUAAGUCAGAUGUGAAAUCCCAGGGCUUAACCCUGGAGCUGCAUCUGAAACUAUGUUUCUUGAGUGUCGGAGAGGAAAGCGGAAUUCCUAGUGUAGCGGUGAAAUGCGUAGAUAUUAGGAGGAACACCAGUGGCGAAGGCGGCUUUCUGGACGAUAACUGACGCUGAGGCGCGAAAGCGUGGGGAGCAAACAGGAUUAGAUACCCUGGUAGUCCACGCUGUAAACGAUGGAUACUAGGUGUAGGAGGUAUCGACCCCUUCUGUGCCGGAGUUAACACAAUAAGUAUCCCACCUGGGGAGUACGGCCGCAAGGUUGAAACUCAAAUGAAUUGACGG